ACCACAAAUGUGUCAGAAAAACACCCCAAUUCAGCCUCAGCUUCAAGGACGCACACUUGUUAACAAUGACUGAUUCAAACUCACUGGAUAAGAAGCGAGCAGAAGAUGGGGACAGUGGUUGUAAAAAGAGUAGAAAAAAGGAGAAGAAGGCGGAUACGUGGAGACCAGAGGGACCCAGGGACCCUUUUGCAGUGCUGGAUGCUCUUCCAGAGAAGAAGCAGCAGGAGAUCCAGAGAGCUCUCCACCUCUUCUCACUGGGCCCGAGCCUGCCAAAAACCAUGCAGCAGGCCAAGAAACGAACAUACCGCUUUUGGGACACACAGCCUGUCCCUAGACUGGGUGAAAGGACAGAGACUCAUGGUCCUAUACUGGAGGGUGAAGCCAGCGUCCGUAAGGAGCCCUUUUCCCUUCCUCAGGGGUUCUCCUGGGACACCCUAGACCUCAGCAAUCUCACAGUGAUGAGAGAGCUUUGUAAUCUACUAAACGACAAUUACAUGGAGGAGGAUGACAACACUGUCAGAUUUGACUUCUCUCCAGAGUAUCUGCAAUGGGCUUUACAGCCUCCUAACUGGCUGUCAGAGUGGCACUGUGCUGUGCGAGUAGACACCAAUAACAAGUUGGUGGGCUUCAUUGCUGCUGUUCCUGCAGACGUGUGCAUUUAUGAGACGGAGAAGCGGAUGGUGCAGGUCAAAUUUCUGUGUGUUCACAAGAAGCUGCGCCUAAAGCGGAUGACUCCAGUUUUGAUCCGAGAGCUCACCAGACGGGUCAAGCAGCAGGGAAUCUACCAGGCGUUCUACGCAGCUGGUAUAGUGCUGCCCACACCGCUGAGCUCCUGCAGGUACUGGUGUCGUCCUCUGAAUCCCAGAAAGCUGGUUGAUGUGGGCUUCCAAGGUUUGAGACAGAACAUGAACCUGCAGACAGCGCUCAAAUUCAACCGUCUGCCUGAGGUGACAAAGACACCUGGCCUGCGCCCAAUGACUAAAGCAGAUGUUGUGGGGUUACAAUCAGUUCUUCAGUCGCAUCUCCGAAAGUUUCAACUCAGCUCCGUGCUGUCUUCAGAGGAAGUAGAGCACUGGCUAUUGCCGAGGGAGAAUGUGAUUGACACCUAUGUGGUUGAGAGUGAUGAUGGCACACUGACAGAUGUGGUGAGUUUCCACUGCACCUCCUACAAGGUCUUAAAUCAUCCGCUCCACACUGGCCUGAGAGCAGCAGUUCUACUUUGUGUUGCCUCGACUGCAACUGACCCGGUCAUCCUUAUGGAGGACAUUCUGGUGCUGGCUAAAUCUGUAAGUGAUUUAGAAUUAAUUCCUGUCACAUAGAGGCAUAAUGUGUGAAAUUUACAUAGCAGAUAUACAAUAUAUCCUGACUUGAUUUAUAUUAAGAGUGAAUCCAAACUUCAUCUGGUUUUGUUUUUUUAAGCUCUGUGUUUACAUUGACUGGAAAGUGCUUCCUCAAGAAAGAGAGCCCACCCUCUCAGGUGUGCUAAUGAUAGCUAGAGAGGGGAUGAAGGCUCAGCCAAGAUAUCCCAAUACCCAGUAAUGCCCUUACUUUUUGCCCCCACAAGUCAACUUUGCAGGCGGAUGGGCAGCAAACAAUAUGUUUUGUUGACGGAACCAUCAUUUGUAUGUGACAUACAAUCAACAAGUUGUUCAAGUUUUGUUGAUGGAAGUACCUGCACUAAACGUGCGCUUUUGAAAUCACUCCGCCCAGCAGCCAUGUCUGAAGUGUAGUUCCGGUUUUGCAUUUGCCUCUAAAACAACUCCGUCUUAAAAUGUUCCAUGAUUAUUUCAUAGCGUGGUGAAUGUGCAGGUCACAACUUGUCCACAAGAGCGUUUUGGAGUUGUUGGAUUGUGUAUUUGAUGAGUUCGAUGAGGGAAAGCCGGAAAUACCAUAUGUCUCCGUAGCAUUAGCUGAGCAGCUUGCAUCUCAUCCCCGCCGAUCUAAAAACAGCUUGCACUGACAGCUAAAGGUAACGAACCUACUCCUAAGACUAUAGGGAUUAUGGCAAUGGGCAAAUUUGCCAAAAUGUUGAAGUAUCCCUUUAAGACUAAAACUAAGACUUAGAUUGAAAAUAGCAGUCAAUAUUAACUUUUAAGGACAUUCAUACAAUAAUUCUGACAGUCAACAUGGUAAAAGAGGUAACAACUGAAUCACCUCUGGGCUGUAUAUCUGAAUGGAGGUCAGUCCUAGCUGCUUUUGGUUAAAUCACAGAGGAUGGGGAAGUGUGGGGGAUAGUGGGGCUCGUGUUUUCGUGGUAAAGUUCUUUACCACGGUAAAGUUUGAUAUCUAAUUGCAUCUUAUGAAUUUAAAGACAUUUAAACCUUUAAACUCUUUUGGAUGAAAUUUCAGGAAAAAAUUGCAUGCUAAAUCAAACUCAUUUCCAUACAUCUUUUCUAUGUAUCAGACAAAUGUUCUCAUCUUUAUUUAGAAAUAUGUAGUUUAAACACUUAAGGCUUUCUGAGCAUAGAUACAGCCACUUUUAUACAGUAUGUCAUUUUCAAACAAAUGGCAAAUCGGUCUGCCAGAGUUUCAUUGUUUUCACAGGUUUGGCCAUCUUUUGUGUGAUUUAAGUCCCUUUUUCAAAAAAAUGACUUUAAGCAACUGACUGCAUAUUCCUAACCCUUUUAGAGUUCAUACAGUUAGAGACCUUAGCUGUUUCUCAAAGUCCAGGAUCCUUCCUCCGUGGGAAGGAUCCUUCCGAGUCAGGACCCUUGGAGGUGAGGCCAGAGUCCUCCCUGGCAACUCUUGAACACACAUUUGGAACAGGCAAGUGAGUGUGCAUGAUUACGUUAUAGGAGGGGUCACGCCCAUAUGCACGGCGGCAGCAGAAAUCAAAAUGGGGGGUACUAACAACAACUUUCACAGUUAUACCCUGUGCUGUCUAAUAAGCUAUCACAUCAUCAUAUAAUCAUAAUAUAUAUGAUAAUAUGAUCAUAUUGACCAUUUAAUAUAUAAUAUAAUUAUAUAUUAUAUACAUAUUAUAUGACUCUACUUAUACCUGUCCAGCUUUACUUUGAUGAUAUGAAAUACCGGUAAUGAUGACAGCAUAUUCAAGGUGGAAACAGGACAUUUAAAAGUGUAUUGAGCAAAAUAGGACCUAGCUUUCUCUAGAUAUUACGGUUUUUUUUUCUUGUUUUUUUUUUUGUUUUUUUGUUUUUAAAGAGGAGGAAAACAAUGCACGUUGGUUUGUGGGUAAAUUCCUGCAAGUGGAGGAUACACAUGUGCAUCCUUGGAAAUUCUCUGUUUGAAGGACUCAGUCCUUGGAAAAAAUUUCAAGGAUCCUCGAGGUUGGAACAGUCCUCUGACAGCAGUUGUUGAAAAGGUUACGACGUCUUCUCUGCAUUUGACGUGAUGGAUAACCAGAGUUUCCUGGAGAAUCUGAAGUUCAGCGUCAAUGACUCAAGCCUUCAUUACUACCUGUACAACUGGAAGUGUCCUACUAUGAGCGCAGACAAG